CGGCCGCGCGCGGAGGCCCACGCACUCACUGAUCUCGGUCUGAUCUAAGGGUCAUAGCAGAACCUAUUGCUGGUUGCAUAGAGACUGCUUCUUCGGUGAUCUGCUUCGGAACCAGAGGCCUGCUCCUUCCAAAAGCACAUCUACAGGAACCUUAGCUUCUGUGGAGAAGAGGCUGAUAAGCUGGAUGCUCCAAGCCGCUUCAUUCUCUUGCUUCCUAAAAGGAGAGGAGUGAGUCAUCUCCGCCCAUAGAUGGCCUAGGGGAGGGCACGAGUGUCAUUAGACCCUUUCAUCUGAGCUCUGCCUGCUGCUAGCUGGUACUCUGAUCUGCUUCCCUGUAAAUCAAGUCAUCCCCACCAGAAGAAUUGAGUUGAAGACCUGCAUGUGAAUAAGGAGGAAUGUUGAUCGACAGGGAUGGCAUAACCA
rnacentral:lncRNA from 1 species